CCCCUUGGACCUACCCCAGAAGGUGUCGCAGCUCGAGGCCAGGCUAAAGCAGCUCCACAGCGACCUCCAGAAGGUACCAUUUUGGGGGGGGGGGGGUGAUUUGGGGCUGUUUUGGGUUCUCACUGGGUGCCACCCAUAGGAGAAGCAGGACAAGGUGGUUUUGGGGUGUUUUGGAGGGGUUUUGGGGUGUUUAUGUGCUGUUUUGGGGCUCUGACCCUGUAUCCCAUAGGAGAAGCAGGACAAGGGUGGUUUUGGGUGCUUUUGUCUGGUUUUGGUGUGGUUUUGGGGUGUUAUGGUGUUGUUUUGUGUCUCUGACCCUGUAUCCCAUAGGAGAAGCAGGACAAGG